AAAAAAAAAAAAUUUAAUAUAAUAUAAUAUAACAUAAUAAAAUAAGUAAAACAGACGUAUACACAAUCAUGUAGUUACGUAUACACAACCACACAUUUACAUACGCACACACCUUUUUCUUACUACAGACUUAAACAACAAAGAUAUUCCUAAUUAUGCUAUAAAUAAUUACUCAUAUGACAAUAUGAAUCCACAUACGAAUUAUGAUAAUGUAGUAGCUCCUGCUAAUAAUGUAGGUAACUACUAUCCUAGAAAUUUCAUACCGACUCAACAACUUUCUCCUGUUAAUAAUAACAACAGUAUAAACAAUAGUACAAAUUUUUUGAAUAAAAAUAUGAACAGUAAUAAUCCUAUUAACAAUAACAGUAAUCAGAUUAAUAGUGCUAAUAUAAAUACUCCGUUUUUUAAUAACAGGUAUUUAUUUAAUAAUAAUAUAAAUAAUCAAAACAGUAAUACCACACAUCCACAACAACAGUUACUACAUGUACAAGCACAAAUAUACCCCAAAACAAGAACACAAAUACCAACACAACCACUUAACAAUAAUUUGAGUUGCAAAAUGAAUAUGAAUGCAAAUUUAUCACAAGGAAAUUAUAUAAAUAAUAGUAGGUAUCAAAAUAAUUUAAAUGUUAAUAGUAAUUAUGUAUACCCAACAAAUAAUUUGACAAAUAUUAAUAAUAUCGUGUCGAAUGAUAUACCUCCGCCAAAUGAUAGUAUGAAUACAACAUCCGUUUUAAAAAAUAAUAAAUCUAUGAAUUUUGUAAAUCCGUAUAACAAUGUUUAUAAUCCUACUAUAUCUGCUAAUAGUAAUAACAAUAAUAAUAAUAUAAAAAAUGAAUACAUUGAUACCAUACCAAAACAACCAAAAUAUAAUGCACCUGUAUCGAAUAAACAAAUGGUUUUUAAUAAACAAUUAAUUUUAAAUAAUGAACAAACAAACACAAAAACACAGUCUACGACUUCAAUUACAAACAAAAUAAUAAGCACAAAUUUAAAUAAUGAAACAGAUAGUCAAAAUGUUGUAUUAAAUGAUAGUACCAGUAGUAAUAAUAUUAAUGCUCCGACAAAUACACAAACGAGUCAAUUUCAGAAUAAUAGUAGUACUCAAGUAAUAACAAAUGAUACUUAUCUUAAUAAUCAAAACGUUUAUACGGAAGGAAA
rnacentral:lncRNA from 1 species